rnacentral:tRNA from 1 species
UCCCUGGUGGUCUAGCGGUUCAGGAUCACAUGUUCUCACCACCACAGCCCAGGUUCGAUUCCUGGGCAGGGAA